GGUGGCUCAGUGGUUAAAGCAUUCGGCUGUUAACCGAAAGGUUGGCGGUUCGAAUCCACCAACGCCA
rnacentral:tRNA from 1 species